CUAGAGUUUGAUCCUGGCUCAGGACGAACGCUGGCGGCGUGCUUAACACAUGCAAGUCGAACGAUGACGACCGUGCUUGCACGGUCUGAUUAGUGGCGAACGGGUGAGUAACACGUGAGUAACCUGCCCCUCACUUCGGGAUAACCUCGGGAAAUCGUGGCUAAUACCGGAUAUGAGUCUUCACCGCAUGGUGGUGACUGGAAAGUUUUUCGGUGGGGGAUGGACUCGCGGCCUAUCAGUUUGUUGGUGAGGUAACGGCUCACCAAGGCGAUGACGGGUAGCCGGCCUGAGAGGGCGACCGGCCACACUGGGACUGAGACACGGCCCAGACUCCUACGGGAGGCAGCAGUGGGGAAUAUUGCACAAUGGGCGAAAGCCUGAUGCAGCGACGCCGCGUGAGGGAUGACGGCCUUCGGGUUGUAAACCUCUUUCAGUAGGGAAGAAGCGAAAGUGACGGUACCUGCAGAAGAAGCGCCGGCUAACUACGUGCCAGCAGCCGCGGUAAUACGUAGGGCGCAAGCGUUGUCCGGAAUUAUUGGGCGUAAAGAGCUUGUAGGUGGCUUGUCGCGUCUGCCGUGAAAACCCGAGGCUCAACCUCGGGCGUGCGGUGGGUACGGGCAGGCUAGAGUGUGGUAGGGGAGACUGGAACUCCUGGUGUAGCGGUGAAAUGCGCAGAUAUCAGGAAGAACACCGAUGGCGAAGGCAGGUCUCUGGGCCAUUACUGACACUGAGAAGCGAAAGCAUGGGUAGCGAACAGGAUUAGAUACCCUGGUAGUCCAUGCCGUAAACGUUGGGCACUAGGUGUGGGGGACAUUCCACGUUUUCCGCGCCGUAGCUAACGCAUUAAGUGCCCCGCC
rnacentral:rRNA from 1 species